AAAAAGUGGUUUUUGAUGGUGGUGAAUUUGAGGUUGGGGAUGAUGUUUAUGUGAGGAGGAGAGAAGAUGCAAGCUCUGAUGAUGAAGACCCUGAAGUUGAGGAGUGUAGAGUGUGCUUUAAGUCUGGAAAGGCUAUAAUGAUCGAGUGUGAUGAUUGUCUUGGUGGUUUUCAUUUGAAGUGUUUGAAGCCGCCAUUGAAGGUAAUCCCUGAGGGGGAUUGGAUUUGUGGGUUUUGUGAGGCUGCUAAAAUGGGCAAAGAGGUUCAGUUUCCAAAGCCUCCGGAGGGUAAAAAACGGGUUAGGACAAUGAGAGAGAAGCUUCUAGCAGGCGAUUUGUG
rnacentral:misc_RNA from 1 species